ACUUCCGUCUCGCACUGUAUAAAUAGAAGUUGUAUCCAUUCAUUCACCGCACCACGUCUCCAGUUACUCACCCUUUGUCUUCUCGUCCAGUCCGAAGAAACCCCACAAUGAACACCUACAUCUGUCUGGCUUCAUGCCUUUUGGUGGCCGUAAGCGCUGCAGGUUAUGGAAGUGGAUCCGGAAAUGGAUUUGGUAAUGGCGGCGGAAAUGGAUUCGGAAACGGAAACGGUUACGGAAACGGCAAUGGCGCCGGAAAUGGAGGAUCUGGAUUUGG